UAAGGAAUAUUGGUCAAUGGGCGCAAGCCUGAACCAGCCAUGCCGCGUGCAGGAAGACGGCCCUACGGGUUGUAAACUGCUUUUAUACCGGAAUAAACCUCGAUACGUGUAUCGAGUUGAAUGUACGGUAAGAAUAAGGAUCGGCUAACUCCGUGCCAGCAGCCGCGGUAAUACGGAGGAUCCAAGCGUUAUCCGGAUUUAUUGGGUUUAAAGGGUGCGUAGGCGGCCAAUUAAGUCAGGGGUGAAAGACGGUAGCUUAACUAUCGCAGUGCCUUUGAUACUGAUUGGCUUGAAUGUACUUGAGGUAGGCGGAAUGUGACAAGUAGCGGUGAAAUGCAUAGAUAUGUCACAGAACACCAAUUGCGAAGGCAGCUUACUAAAGUAUGAUUGACGCUGAGGCACGAAAGCGUGGGGAUCAAACA
rnacentral:rRNA from 1 species